rnacentral:siRNA from 1 species
CGUUGCUUUUUGAUCCUUCGAU